rnacentral:rRNA from 1 species
AUGGGGAAGCCCGUCGAUGUCGAGCUCGGCGGCGCGGGAGGCCUCGCGAUCGCCGGCGGAGGAGGAGGAGGAGGAGGGUGGGGGUGCGGCGCGGUCGGCCGCUCCGUCUCGUUCCGGUGCGUCUUCGUGCUCGCGCUCGCUGUCGGGGUCCUCGUCCCGGCGCUGUUCCUCCUCCUGCCCUCCCGCCCCGGGGGUUACCUUUCCAGCGACCCCGACGUUCUCGCCGCUGAAAUUCAGGUUGGUUUCACGUUGGAAAAGCCAGUAUCGUUCCUCGCUGCUCACAUGGACAGAAUAGGGAGUGACAUAUUUGAAGAGAUUGGUGUACCUAAUAGCAAGGUUUCCAUUGUUUCGAUGCACUCUUUAGCUUCUAAAUACUCCACGCGUGUGGUUUUUGGUGUUCUUCCUUAUCCAAAAGAUGCUUCGAUAAGUUUGCCGGCCCUUAGUGUACUGAGGUCAUCCUUAAUAGGGAUGAUGCUGAAGCAGCUGAACCUAUCCUUGACACCAUCAAUUUUUGGUUAUCCAUCUUCCAUCGAGUUGUUGGGAUUCCCUGGAGGAAUUACUGUUGUUCCUGUGCAAUCUGGUUCUGUAUGGGCAAGCACAGACCCACUAUUCAACUUUGUGCUGAACAACUCCAUUGGUCAGAUCUUGGGUAAUCUUACAGAGCUAAAAAAUCAAUUGGAAUUUGGAUUGAACUUGAGGUCCUACGAGAGAAUAUAUUUGCAGUUCAGGAAUGAGAUUGGUUCUUCAGUUGAAGCGCCAGCAACUAUUGAGGCAUCGGUGUUAGAUGGGAAUAGUAUUCUGUUGCCAUAUAGAUUGAAACAACUAGCUGAGCUAAUCAAAGAACCUGACGCGAGGAACCUUGGGCUUAAUCACUCUGUAUUUGGUAAAGUAAAAGGAGUUCAGCUGUCAUCGUAUCUGCAACACUCAAUCUCAGAUUUGUCUCCUAGUCCAGCUCCUUCACCAUCUCCAUAUCCAUCCCCCUCUCCAUCACCUUCUACAAGUGUACCACCAUCUUCGUCGCCAUCUGGGAGUGUCCCGUACCUUACACCCCCAACCUCUAGUCCCUCUCCUCGGGCUUCUCCCCCUUUACCAAACCACCCCCCUUGUUUUCCAUGUUCUGAUUGUAACCCCUUUCCUCCAGCUGGUAGGCCAAUGCUAAAACCACCCUGCUUUGGUAGUGGCCCUAAGCUGCCUCCAUCUGUGCAUUCACCACAGCCAUCUGCUGUUCCAUCCCCCACAGUUCAUAAACCAUACCUUCCUCCAAUCCCUGUCCAUGUAGAUCCUCCCCAUCCCUUACCAUCUCCCAAUCAUGUACCAAACGCAGUCCCUGGACCAACUUAUCAAAUGAUGCCGAUACCUUCACCCCCAGUGCCUCAUUUUCGACAUUCUCCUCCACGGAAGAAACGAAGUGGCACAACAACCAAGUCUCCUCCAAUUGCUCCAUCUCCGUAUUCUCUCCUCCAUUCCUGA